rnacentral:tRNA from 1 species
GCGGGGGUCGCCAAGCCUGGUCAAUGCGCCCAGCAAGCAUUGCUGGGCAACGGCUAUCGGCGCAGGACUGAGGCUCCUGUCCCGAAGGGGUUCGUGGGUUCAAAUCCCACCCCCCGCACCA